rnacentral:rRNA from 1 species
GAUGAACGCUGGCGGCGUGCCUAACACAUGCAAGUCGAGCGGAAAGACGAGGCUUGCGCCUUGCUUCAGUGGCGGACGGGUGAGUAAUUCGUAGGUGACUUACUUUUCGUUAGGGCUGACGUCAGGGAACGGGCGCUGAUACCACAUACGUCCUGAUGUUGAAAGUGAUGGUUCUACAGUCCUCGCGGUAUCGGCUGAGCCUAGGACAUAUUAGCUAGUUGGUGGGGUAAAGGCUUACCAAGGCGGCGAUCCGUAACUGGGCUGAGAGGGUGAUCAGACACACUGGAACUGAGACGCGGUCCAGACUCCUACGGGAGGCAGCAGUGGGGAAUAUUGGACAAUGGGCGAAAGCCUGAACAAGCAACGCCGCGUGGGUGAAGAAGGUCUUCGGAUCGUAAAACUCUUUUAGUUGGGAAGAAGGGUAGUGAGAGAAACCAUGCCUGUUUUGACGGUACCUAAAGAAGAAGCACCGGCUAACUACGUG